rnacentral:rRNA from 1 species
UACGUAGGGGGCAAGCGUUAUCCGGAAUUACUGGGUGUAAAGGGAGCGUAGACGGUAAUGUAAGUCUGGAGUGAAAGGCGGGGGCCCAACCCCCGGACUGCUCUGGAAACUAUGUUACUAGAGUGCAGGAGAGGUAAGCGGAAUUCCUAGUGUAGCGGUGAAAUGCGAAGAUAUUAGGAGGAACACCAGUGGCGAAGGCAGCUUACUGGACUGUAACUGACGUUGAGGCUCGAAAGCGUGGGGAGCAAACAGG